rnacentral:rRNA from 1 species
UACGGAGGGGGCUAGCGUUGUUCGGAAUUACUGGGCGUAAAGCGCACGUAGGCGGCUUUGUAAGUUAGAGGUGAAAGCCCGGGGCUCAACUCCGGAAUUGCCUUUAAGACUGCAUCGCUAGAAUUGUGGAGAGGUGAGUGGAAUUCCGAGUGUAGAGGUGAAAUUCGUAGAUAUUCGGAGGAACACCAGUGGCGAAGGCGGCUCACUGGUCCAUUACUGACGCUGAGUGCGCGAAAAGCGUUGGG